UAGCUCAGGUUUCUCUUUAUUCACACGUAAAUCUUUCACCUUUUACUAAAGAUUUCUGUGGGGUGGAAUGUUGAUGAGUUCUACUUAUUUAUCUAGGCUGUCCUGUUGCAAAGCU